rnacentral:rRNA from 1 species
CCUACGGGAGGCAGCAGUGGGGAAUUUUGGACAAUGGGCGCAAGCCUGAUCCAGCAAUGCCGCGUGCAGGAUGAAGGCCUUCGGGUUGUAAACUGCUUUUGUACGGAACGAAAUGGCGAACUCUAAUAAAGUUCGCUAAUGACGGUACCGUAAGAAUAAGCACCGGCUAACUACGUGCCAGCAGCCGCGGUAAUACGUAGGGUGCAAGCGUUAAUCGGAAUUACUGGGCGUAAAGCGUGCGCAGGCGGUGAUGUAAGACAGAUGUGAAAUCCCCGGGCUCAACCUGGGACCUGCAUUUGUGACUGCAUCGCUAGAGUACGGUAGAGGGGGAUGGAAUUCCGCGUGUAGCAGUGAAAUGCGUAGAUAUGCGGAGGAACACCGAUGGCGAAGGCAAUCCCCUGGACCUGUACUGACGCUCAUGCACGAAAGCGUGGGGAGCAAACAGGAUUAGAUACCCUGGUAGUCCACGCCCUAAACGAUGUCAACUGGUUGUUGGGUCUUCGCUGACUCAGUAACGAAGCUAACGCGUGAAGUUGACCGCCUGGGGAGUACGGCCGCAAGGUUGAAACGUUAAAGGAAAUUGACGG